AUGGAAAAUUGCAUUUUUGGAAUUUGCAAUAAUGCGAUGGGCGAACGACGGGAAUUGAACCCGCGCAUGGUGGAUUCACAAUCCACUGCCUUGAUCCACUUGGCUACAUCCGCCCCUUAUCCAGCUAAAGGAUUUUUUCUUUUUUCCAUUGAUCAUUAUUCUAUUUAUUUUGACCUCCGUACUUCGAUCGAGAUAUUGGACAUAGAAUGCCACUCUUUAAAAAGGAAAAAGGCUAGUAUAUAG
rnacentral:tRNA from 1 species